rnacentral:lncRNA from 1 species
AUGUGUUUCCAUCAUGAGCAGUGCCUUGUCGAGCACCUCCACCAACAGGCACUCCACCCUUCAUUGGGUAGAUUUUUCUCAGGGAUUCUGAGAAAAUUCUCCGGGAUUCUGAAAAGAUUCAAACAGAACUUUGCUGUCUUUUAACACCUCUAGCUGCAGCUGAUCUGGAGUGGAACCAAGCCGAGCAGCUGACUGACAGCACACCUCUACGCUGAACACUUGGUCAGACCUA